UCCUCCAUCGAAAGCGAUUCUGCCAGAGGCCGAUCCAUCGUUAUUCUAAGUGGAGGCUCUGAUUGCCAUUUGUGUCUGAACCUUGGACACAGAAGGGCAGUCACCACGGUGAGGGUGUUGAUUGGUGAACAUGCUGGAAACAUGAGCGGAAUCGGAGGAUAAGGAAAUUAGAUUUCCUAAGGGCAGAGAUAAGACUGUGUAUUUUUAAAAUGUCCCUCACAGGAUCACACUUUGACCCAGACUGAUCUGGAAAUACUCCUACUAGAUAUUGGAAACACUGAGUCAGUUCAAGACCUACUUUCACUGCUCAAAUGAGUGAAAUUAUUCUGCAAAGAGAUUCAUGGACGUGCAGAACUUUGUCUCUUCUGUUUCCCCCUUCUCCUGUUUCUGCACCACCUUGGGUGUGGCCUGCAUACGAUCCACAGUGCCUCCUGCAUUGCGGCUCCUUCUGUCUUCACUGUUAAGGAGCAAGAAGAGCACCCCCUGGACCUAACACCUCCCACUCCGGAUUUCCCCACCAGUGUCUCAGUGUCUCUCUACUUGGUGCUGAGACUGCACAGCUACAAUGACUUCAUGUCGACAGAUGAUCCUGACCACUCACGGAAACACUUCCGUCCUGUCAACAUGGGAUUCGGCUGCCUCUGUCUGCCUCUGUCUUUUGUAACUCCCCUACACACUCCCCAACUGACACAUGUUGACCCACAGGCAGUAGGGAUAGCUCCAUGCCCCUGUUCAUCAGGAAGAAGUUACAGAAGAUGAGACCUUCCACCUUAAACAGCCUUAAAGAUUUAAGGAUCAAAAUUGUUCAGGGAGCAAGUGAUAAGGGAGCAAAAGGUUAGCUAAGGACAAGGCAGAAGCUGGCACCCUACACCCCCCUCCCCAGUGACAUGUGUGACAUUCCUCAGGCACUCCUGGCUGCCCUAACGGUUACCUAAUAGAGAUCACAGUCCUGCAGGACAGGAGUCUCCCUCAGUUUACAGACACCUAGUGAUUUAUAAUCGCCUAACUUCUGGAAGACUCCUAACUGUCUUCAUGUUGGUCCCUCAGUAGAGAAACAAACAAACAAAACAUAGCUUGGCUUGACCGUAACCAGGCCUCCAGUACCCCGAGAGUCUUCUUUCCUAUAUGUCAGCCCUUCUGAACACCCCCUUU